CCCCUGAUCCCAACUUAUUUCCCACUACGAUAGUUUGGUUGAGUAGGAUGUCACAUGUUGAAAUCGCAUGUUGGAUAUGCAAGUUAGCCUUGAAAUCGCAUGUCCAACAUGCGAUUUUAGGCUGACCUAGCACCCCACAUUAUCUAAGAGCCAUUUGAAAUUUGAAAUGGAAGCAUUGGAAUUUAAAAUUGGAACCAUAUGAAGUCGCAUGUUCAAGAAAAUGCACCUUGAAUAUGAAACCGCACCUUGAACAUGCGCUUUUAUGUCUCUUCUCAACCACC
rnacentral:lncRNA from 1 species